rnacentral:rRNA from 1 species
UACGAAGGGGGCUAGCGUUGCUCGGAAUCACUGGGCGUAAAGGGUGCGUAGGCGGCCAUGUAAGUCAGGAGUGAAAGUUUGCGGCUCAACCGUAAAAUUGCUUUUGAUACUGCAUGGCUGGAAUCAGGAUGAGGUCAGCGGAAUGUGGCAUGUAGCGGUGAAAUGCAUAGAUAUGCCAUAGAACACCAAUUGCGAAGGCAGCUGGCUAGACCUGUAUUGACGCUGAGGCACGAAAGCGUGGGGAGCGAACAGG